rnacentral:rRNA from 1 species
GAUGAACGCUAGCUACAGGCUUAACACAUGCAAGUCGCAGGGUAACAUGAGGAAAGCUUGCUUUCCUUGAUGACGACUGGCGCACGGGUGAGUAACGCGUAUCCAACCUUCCCAUAACUACGGGAUAACCCGUUGAAAGACGGCCUAAUACUGUAUGAUAUCGUCUGCUGACAUCAAAUAACGAUUAAAGGUUUAGCGGUUAUGGAUGGGGAUGCGUCUGAUUAGCUUGUUGGCGGGGUAACGGCCCACCAAGGCGACGAUCAGUAGGGGUUCUGAGAGGGGGCACCCUGAGAUUGGGACUGGGACCAGGUCCAAACUGCUACGGGAGGCAGCAGUGAGGAAGAUAGGUCAGUGGGCGAGAGCCUGAACCGGCGAAGUAGCGUGCAGGACGACGGCAUUAUGGGUUGUAGACUGCUGUUAUGAGGGGAUAUGGGGCUGGACGGGUCAUGCAUUGCAGGUACCACAUGAAUAAGGACCGGCUAAUUACGUG